UGAGAUGUCUCCAUCAAAUCCCUCCCCCUUGGAGCUCAGGGAGUCCUGUAGAAGAUGAGGAAUGAAGAGUGUACAUGCCAGAUGGAAGAUACCAACAAAAAUAAGACCCUCGAAAUCAACAAGACUGGUGGACAUAUGAGCUCACAGAGACCGAGACAGCAUGUACAGAACUCCACAGGUCUGCCCCAGUUUUCCUUCUCAGAUGUGCUUUCCUGGCUCCAGACUGACUGCUGUGGUUCGGGCAUUGUGUGACCCCAUGACAACAUUCAAGGCAGGAAGCAGCAAAGACAAAAGCUUGUCCAGAAAUGUCCCAGCAGUUUCCCCCCAGUCUCCUUCAUAGAGGACCUCACACUCCCAAGGCCUUCACAAGAGCUGGCCAGGAAGAUGCAGACCUCAUGCUGCUGGUGGGAGGAAGUCCUUGUCAUCAAGUAUGAGAAAACAUGACAUUGCUGGGCAUGGGAGGGAAAACAAGAGUAAUGCGAACUCACACACGAACACCCUAAAUGCUGGCCUGCCUUGGAUAGCAGCUGAAACCCCCUCUCCUACAUAAUCUUUCUGGACACAUUUUUAAUUAAAGUAGUCCUUCUGAAGAAGAUGGAGCAAGAUUUCAGCCACAGAAUGAUUUAAAAAAAAAAAAAACUAGUAAAACUGAAGCUUAAGUUUUAAGACACAUGAAGG